GCCCCUAUGGCUCGAAUGGAUAGGCACUCGGCUUCUAACUGAGACGAUGCGGGUUCGAAUCCUGCUGGGGGUACCA
rnacentral:tRNA from 1 species